CCUACGGGUGGCAGCAGUGGGGAAUAUUGGACAAUGGGGGGAAUCCUGAUCCAGCCAUGCCGCGUGUGUGAAGAAGGCCCUCGGGUUGUAAAGCACUUUCAGUGAGGAAGAACGCCUGGUGGUUAAUACCCAUCAGGAAAGACAUCACUCACAGAAGAAGCACCGGCUAACUCCGUGCCAGCAGCCGCGGUAAUACGGAGGGUGCGAGCGUUAAUCGGAAUUACUGGGCGUAAAGCGCGCGUAGGUGGCUUGAUAAGCCGGUUGUGAAAGCCCCGGGCUCAACCUGGGAACGGCAUCCGGAACUGUCAAGCUAGAGUGCAGGAGAGGAAGGUAGAAUUCCCGGUGUAGCGGUGAAAUGCGUAGAGAUCGGGAGGAAUACCAGUGGCGAAGGCGGCCUUCUGGACUGACACUGACACUGAGGUGCGAAAGCGUGGGUAGCAAACAGGAUUAGAUACCCCGGUAGUC
rnacentral:rRNA from 1 species